CUGGAAUUCUAUUAUUAUCUAUUUCCCUACAAUUUUCUUUUUCAUUUGUCUUAUUUUCUUCUCAUCUCUAUCCUCGAGUUCUCCUCCUCCCGUUUCUUUUCUCUUCUAAACCUAAACCUAAAUCUCCAAAAUCAAACCCACGAUUUCAGAAUUUAUUUCUCCUAAUCCGAAUCAAAUCUCAUAGAUCAAAACUCAUCUCGGAAAUCAAACCCAAACUUUGAAUCACUCAAACUGGAGGAUGCGGCUGUAUCUCAACUCAGAGAAAAUGGGAUUGUGAAAUGAGAUGACACAGAGAAGGGGAUCUGUGGGUUAUAAUCAAAGUAGAUGAGAAGAAUCGAUGGAGGUACUAAUUCCGGAGUUGUAGUCAGAUUUAAUCCUGGAUCGAGACCAAUCAAGACAGGGAAGAUGGAAGGAUAAUUCGAAUCUAAGACGGAAGUGGAUCCAGGGUUUGUGUUUCUCAGAGGUGGUGACGGAAAUGAAGAUUGAAGUCCAGAUUCAAUGGGGUUUGAUCUCAAAUUGAAGUUAUGAUGCUGUUGAAGUCGAUGGGGUUUAGGUUGAUUUGGCUGUUACUGUUGUUGAUUGAGAAGAAACAGAAACUAAGGUUGCUGUGGUGAUUGAGAUGAAUUUCAAAGGAUUGAGAAAAUAGGUUUGAUGGAUUUUUGGUUCUUGGUUGUGAACUGUUGAUGGGGAUGAUAGAAUAGCUGAUGGUGAAAGCUAAAGAAGAAUUAGGGCAAGGUCAGUCAAUUCAGAUGAUUGAAUGGUUUAUCUGUGUUGUCUUGUUGUUAGAAAUUGCAGGGAAGAAGAAUUGUUUGCAGUGAAGGCACUAGUGGUGGCUGAAUGGUGGAAAUUGAACUGAGAUUUACAGAGAUGGAGAUGGAUGUGAUGUUCCAAAGAUUAUAUGGGUUACUAAAGCCGAGUUGUGAAGGGUGAUGCAACUGUAAGUUAUACAUAAUGGCUCAGGAUGUGGUGAUGGCCGAAGAUUGUCUGAUGAAUUGUUGCUGCCAGUGACUGUUAGAAGCAAGUUCGAGUCAGAUGCUAUGGGUUGUUGCAGGGGACAAGAAAUUGAUGCUGCUGAGUAUAAGAAGUUGUAGGCAUGAACUGAUUGUUGAGUUUGUGUUGCUGCCUAAGAGAAGUUGUACAUGUUCAAAUUUCAACGUGGUAGUAACCAAAACGAAGAAACUUGAGAAGCUUUGUCAUGCUGAAUCCUAGUAGCAGAGAUUAAAACCUUCCUUCGUGAAGAUCCUCUUCCAUUUUCUGCUGGUCAGUUGGAAGGGAUGGCAUUACUGAUAAACAUGCAUAUAAAAGUAGCAAGAAGACGCAGGAACAACAGUCUUAAGGUAUUGGUUGAUAGAAUAUAUGAGGAGGCAUCCCAAGCAAAAGAAGAUCCGUGCUUUAAUUCUUAAGUUUAUUAAAGACCAGAUUGCAGGUUUACUUUUGGUUGAGGUAAAGAUUUUAUUUCCUUUCGAAAAGGCACAUGACCAUGUUCCAUAUAUGGUUUCUCCUGCUUCUAGUUUUUUCUUGAGCAACCUGUUACCACUGUAUGACUAUAGUUAUGAACAAUCUUCAAACCAUACAGGUUGGGAUGCAAGCUUCUGCAGUUGUUGUGUCUAUUGGGAAACAAAUAGGAGAUGAAAUACAAGUUAGGGUAGAAGAACCCCAAAUGUCUUAGAAAGUUGUACCCCUUGUUCUCAACUUCAACACUGCACUGGUUUACGUCUUCCCUAAUUGCUCAUGCGACUGGUGUACGUCUUCCCUAAUUGCUCAUGCGAAAUGGGUAAGAGAAAUAUCCUCGGAUGCCCCAUCUUUGUAGAUUAGUUCCUGGGUAGUCCAUGCAAAACAAAUCGUUUCGUUGUAAACUAAUGCACGACUGCUUAAGAUGCUAUGAACUGAAAGAUAAUGUCACUUUUUUUCCUUCGAUAAA